GAUGAACGCUGGCGGCGUGCUUAACACAUACAAGUCGAACGGUGAAGCUCCAGCUUGCUGGAGUGGAUCAGUGGCGAACGGGUGAGUAACACGUGAGCAACCUGCCCCUGACUCUGGGAUAACAGCCGGAAACGGCUGCUAAUACCGGAUAUGCACCAUGAACGCAUGUUCUGUGGUGGGAAAGAUUUUUCGGUUGGGGAUGGGCUCGCGGCCUAUCAGCUUGUUGGUGAGGUAAUGGCUCACCAAGGCGUCGACGGGUAGCCGGCCUGAGAGGGUGACCGGCCACACUGGGACUGAGACACGGCCCAGACUCCUACGGGAGGCAGCAGUGGGGAAUAUUGCACAAUGGGCGAAAGCCUGAUGCAGCAACGCCGCGUGAGGGAUGACGGCCUUCGGGUUGUAAACCUCUUUUAGCAGGGAAGAAGCGAGAGUGACGGUACCUGCAGAAAAAGCGCCGGCUAACUACGUG
rnacentral:rRNA from 1 species